rnacentral:rRNA from 1 species
CUGACAAACUCCGAAUGCCAGUAGUAUGAUUUACAGCAGUGAGUGACUGGGUGCUAAUGUCCAGUCGCAAAAGAGGAACAACUCAGACCAGCAACUAAGGUCCCGAAGAAUAUGCUAAGUUGAUCUAACGAUGUUUUGUUGCAGAGACAGCUAGGAUGUUAGCUUGGAAGCAGCUAUUCAUUCAAAGAGUGCGUAACAGCUCACUAGUCGAGCGACAGAGCGUGGAUAAUAAACGGGCAUCAAGCAUAUCACCGAAGUUCUGGGCGCGAGAGCGCGGUAGGGGAGCAUUCCAUUCAGCGUCGAAGCAGUUUCGUGAGGAAUUGUGGAGCGUAUGGAAAAGCAAAUGUAGGCAUGAGUAACGAUAAUGCGGGAGAGUAACCCGCACACCGCAAGACCAAGGUUUCCUGAUCAACGCUAAUCGGAUCAGGGUUAGUCGGGUCCUAAGGGUAAGCCGAACGGCGAUCUCGAUGGAUAAUCGGUUAAUAUUCCGAUACUAACAUAUACCUCGAUGGAGAGACGAAGGAACGUAAGUGCCGCCACCUGACGGAAUAGGUGGUUAAAGGGCGUAGAUAUAGGGGCAGAUUAAGAGUUAGUCCUUGCUGAAACCUGACAGUACAGAGAGCCUACGGGCAAUUUGAUAGAGCACCCAAGUCGACUUCCGAGAAAAUCUUCUAAGUUAUAGUAUAUGUCACCCGUACCGUAAACCGACACAGGUGGUCGAGGAGAGUAUCCUAAGGUGCUCGAGUGAAUCACGGUUAAGGAACUAGGCAAAUUAACCCCGUAACUUCGGGAAAAGGGGUCCCUAUGAAAGUAGGGCGCAGCGAAGAGGUCCAGGCGACUGUUUAUCAAAAACACAGGGCUCUGCAAAUUCGAAAGAAGACGUAUAGGGCCUGACACCUGCCCGGUGCUGGAAGGUUAAGAGGGGAUGUCAUCGCAAGAGAAGCAUUGAAUCGAAGCCCCAGUAAACGGCGGCCGUAACUAUAACGGUCCUAAGGUAGCGAAAUUCCUUGUCGGGUAAGUUCCGACCUGCACGAAUGGUGUAACGAUCUGGACACUGUCUCAACCGUGAGCUCGGUGAAAUUGUAGUCCCGGUGAUGAUGCCGGGUACCCGCAACGGGACGAAAAGACCCCGUGAACCUUUACUAUAGCUUAACGCUGAAUUUGGGUACACAAUGUGUAGGAUAGGCAGGAGACUACGAAGCGGGCACGCCAGUGUUCGUGGAGUCGACGUUGAAAUACUGCCCUUUGUGUACUUGAGUUCUAACCCUCGAGAGGGGACACCGUUUGGUGGGUAGUUUGACUGGGGUGGUCGCCUCCAAAAGAGUAACGGAGGCUUCCCAAGGUACCCUCAGCACGAAUGGUAACCGUGCGCGGAGUGCAAUAGCAUAAGGGUGCUUGACUGUGAGACAUACAAGUCGACCAGGUACGAAAGUAGGGUAUAGUGAUCCGGUGGUUCUGCGUGGACUGGCCAUCGCU